CCUACGGGUGGCAGCAGUCGAGAAUUUUUCACAAUGGACGAAAGUCUGAUGGAGCGACGCCGCGUGGAGGAUGAAGGUUCUUGGAUUGUAAACUCCUGUCACUGCAGAACUGGUAUGCGGAGAGGAAGGGACGGCUAACUCUGUGCCAGCAGCCGCGGUGAGACAGAGGUCCCGAGCGUUGUUCGGAUUCAUUGGGCGUAAAGGGUGUGUAGGAGGUCGGGUAAGUCGUGUGUGAAAUCUCAGAGCUUAACUCUGAAACUGCGCUCGAUACUGCCCGGCUAGAGGAUCGGAGGGGGUAACGGAAUUUAUGGUGUAGCAGUGAAAUGCGUAGAUAUCAUAAGGAACACCGGUGGCGAAGGCGGUUACCUGGAGUUCCUGACUCUGAAACACGAAAGCCAGGGGAGCAAACGGGAUUAGAUACCCUAGUAGUC
rnacentral:rRNA from 1 species